ACGGAAGGCAGCAGUGAGGAAUAUUGGUCAAUGGGCGGAAGCCUGAACCAGCCAAGUCGCGUGAAGGAUGAAGGUAUUAUGUAUUGUAAACUUCUUUAGACGUAGAGAAAUAAGAGGCUCGUGAGCCUUGAUGCUAGUAUACGUAGAAUAAGGAUCGGCUAACUCCGUGCCAGCAGCCGCGGUAAUACGGAGGAUCCGAGCGUUAUCCGGAUUUAUUGGGUCUAAAGGGUGCGCAGGCGGCCCUGUAAGUCAGCGGUUAAAUCGUGGAGCUCAACUCCAUCCCGCCGUUGAUACUGCAGGGCUUGAUUGCGGUCGAGGUUGGCGGAAUUCGCCGUGUAGCGGUGAAAUGCAUAGAUAUGGCGAAGAACUCCGAUUGCGUAGGCAGCUGACCAGGCCGUAAAUGACGCUCAUGCACGAAAGUGCGGGGAUCGAACAGGAUUAGAUACCCUGGUA
rnacentral:rRNA from 1 species